GAUGAAGAACGUAGCGAAAUGCGAUAAGUAAUGUGAAUUGCAGAAUUCAGUGAAUCAUCGAAUCUUUGAACGCACAUUGCGCCCGCCAGUAUUCUGGCGGGCAUGCCUGUUCGAGCGUCAUUUCAACCAUCAAGCCCCCGGGCUUGUGUUGGGGACCUGCGGCUGCCGCAGGCCCUGAAAAGCAGUGGCGGGCUCGCUGUCACACCGAGCGUAGUAGCAUACAUCUCGCUCUGGGCGUGCUGCGGGUUCCGGCCGUUAAACCACCUUCAUAACCCAAGGUUAACCUCGGAUCAGGUAGGAAGACCCGCUGAACUUAAGCAUAUCAAUAAGCGGAGGA
rnacentral:misc_RNA from 1 species